rnacentral:rRNA from 1 species
CCUACGGGAGGCAGCAGUGAGGAAUAUUGGUCAAUGGGCGGAAGCCUGAACCAGCCAAGUCGCGUGAGGGAAUAAGGCCCUACGGGUCGUAAACCUCUUUUGCCGGGGAGCAAGGGCCGGGACGCGUCCCGGCCCGGAGAGUCCCCGGAGAAAAAGCAUCGGCUAACUCCGUGCCAGCAGCCGCGGUAAUACGGAGGAUGCGAGCGAUAUCCGGAUUUACUGGGUGUAAAGGGAGCGUAGACGGCAGCACAAGUCUGGCGUGAAAUCCCGGGGCUUAACCCCGGAACUGCAUUGGAAACUGGUCGGCUGGAGUGCAGGAGGGGUAAGCGGAAUUCCUAGUGUAGGGGUGAAAUGCGUAGAUAUUAGGAGGAACACCGGUGGCGAAGGCGGCUUACUGGACUGUAACUGACGUUGAGGCGCGAAAGCGUGGGGAGCAAACAGGAUUAGAUACCCCAGUAGUC